rnacentral:rRNA from 1 species
ACGGGAGGCAGCAGUGGGGAAUAUUGCACAAUGGGGGAAACCCUGAUGCAGCGACGCCGCGUGAGUGAAGAAGUAUCUCGGUAUGUAAAGCUCUAUCAGCAGGGAAGAAAAUGACGGUACCUGACUAAGAAGCCCCGGCUAACUACGUGCCAGCAGCCGCGGUAAUACGUAGGGGGCAAGCGUUAUCCGGAUUUACUGGGUGUAAAGGGAGCGUAGACGGCGAUGCAAGUCUGAAGUGAAAGGCGGGGGCUCAACCCUUGGACUGCUUUGGAAACUGUAUUGCUAGAGUGCAGGAGAGGUAAGUGGAAUUCCUAGUGUAGCGGUGAAAUGCGUAGAUAUUAGGAGGAACACCAGUGGCGAAGGCGGCUUUCUGGACUGACAAUGACGCUGAGGCUCGAAAGCGUGGGGAGCAAACAGGAUUAGAUACCCUGGUA